rnacentral:rRNA from 1 species
GGAGCUUGCUCCUGGGUGAGAGUGGCGAACGGGUGAGUAAUGCGUGACCGACCUGCCCCAUACACCGGAAUAGCUCCUGGAAACGGGUGGUAAUGCCGGAUGCUCCAGUUGGAUGCAUGUCCUUCUGGGAAAGAUUCUAUCGGUAUGGGAUGGGGUCGCGUCCUAUCAGCUUGAUGGCGGGGUAACGGCCCACCAUGGCUUCGACGGGUAGCCGGCCUGAGAGGGCGACCGGCCACAUUGGGACUGAGAUACGGCCCAGACUCCUACGGGAGGCAGCAGUGGGGAAUAUUGCACAAUGGGCGCAAGCCUGAUGCAGCGACGCCGCGUGCGGGAUGACGGCCUUCGGGUUGUAAACCGCUUUUGACUGGGAGCAAGCCCUUCGGGGUGAGUGUACCUUUCGAAUAAGCACCGGCUAACUACGUGCCAGCAGCCGCGGUAAUACGUAGGGUGCAAGCGUUAUCCGGAAUUAUUGGGCGUAAAGGGCUCGUAGGCGGUUCGUCGCGUCCGGUGUGAAAGUCCAUCGCUUAACGGUGGAUCCGCGCCGGGUACGGGCGGGCUUGAGUGCGGUAGGGGAGACUGGAAUUCCCGGUGUAACGGUGGAAUGUGUAGAUAUCGGGAAGAACACCAAUGGCGAAGGCAGGUCUCUGGGCCGUCACUGACGCUGAGGAGCGAAAGCGUGGGGAGCGAACAGGAUUAGAUACCCUGGUAGUCCACGCCGUAAACGGUGGAUGCUGGAUGUGGGGACCAUUCCACGGUCUCCGUGUCGGAGCCAACGCGUUAAGCAUCCCGCCUGGGGAGUACGGCCGCAAGG